AGUGAACGCUGGCGGUAGGCCUAACACAUGCCAGUCGAACGGCAGCACAGUAAGAGCUUGCUCUUACGGGUGGCGAGUGGCGGACGGGUGAGGAAUACAUCGGAAUCUACUUUUUCGUGGGGGAUAACGUAGUGAAACUUACGCUAAUACCGCAUACGACCUACGGGUGAAAGCAGGGGAUCUUCGGACCUUGCGCGAUUGAAUGAGCCGAUGUCGGAUUAGCUAGUUGGCGGGGUAAAGGCCCACCAAGGCGACGAUCCGUAGCUGGUCUGAGAGGAUGAUCAGCCACACUGGAACUGAGACACGGUCCAGACCCCUACGGGAGGCAGCAGUGGGGAAUAUUGGACAAUGGGCGCAAGCCUGAUCCAGCCAUACCGCGUGGGUGAAGAAGGCCUUCGGGUUGUAAAGCCCUUUUGUUGGGAAAGAAAAGCAGCAGGUUAAUACCCCGCUGUUCUGACGGUACCCAAAGAAUAAGCACCGGCUAACUUCGUG
rnacentral:rRNA from 1 species